rnacentral:rRNA from 1 species
CCUACGGGUGGCAGCAGUGGGGAAUCUUGGUCAAUGGGCGUAAGCCUGAACCAGCCACGUCGCGUGAGGGAUGAAGGUUCUAUGGAUCGUAAACCUCUUUUAUAAGGGAAUAAAGUGCGGGACGUGUCCCGUUUUGUAUGUACCUUAUGAAUAAGGAUCGGCUAACUCCGUGCCAGCAGCCGCGGUAAUACGGAGGAUCCGAGCGUUAUCCGGAUUUAUUGGGUUUAACGGGUGCGUAGGCGGCCUUUUAAGUCAGAGGUGAAAGUCUGUGGCUCAACCAUAGAAUGGCCGUGGAAACUGGAAGACUUGAGUGUGUUAGAGGCAGGUGGAAUGCGUUGUGUAGCGGUGAAAGGCGUAGAGAUAACGCAGAACCCCGGUGGCGAAGGCAGCCUGCCAAGCCAUAACUGACGCUGAUGCACGAAAGCGUGGGGAUCAAACAGGAUUAGAUACCCGAGUAGUC